AUUGAACGCUGGCGGCAUGCCUUACACAUGCGAGUCGAACGGUAACAGGUCUUCGGAUGCUGACGAGUGGCGAACGGGUGAGUAAUACAUCGGAACGUGCCUAGUAGUGGGGGAUAACUACUCGAAAGAGUGGCUAAUACCGCAUGAGAUCUACGGAUGAAAGCAGGGGAUCGCAAGACCUUGUGCUACUAGAGCGGCCGAUGGCAGAUUAGGUAGUUGGUGGGAUAAAAGCUUACCAAGCCGACGAUCUGUAGCUGGUCUGAGAGGACGAUCAGCCACACUGGGACUGAGACACGGCCCAGACUCCUACGGGAGGCAGCAGUGGGGAAUUUCGGACAAUGGGCGAAAGCCUGAUCCAGCAAUGCCGCGUGCAGGAUGAAGGCCUUCGGGUUGUAAACUGCUUUUGUACGGAACGAAAAGCCCCGGGUUAAUACCCUGGGGUCAUGACGGUACCGUAAGAAUAAGCACCGGCUAACUACGUGCCAGCAGCCGCGGUAA
rnacentral:rRNA from 1 species